rnacentral:rRNA from 1 species
UACGUAGGUGGCAAGCGUUGUCCGGAUUUACUGGGCGUAAAGAGCGCGCAGGCGGUCGUUCAAGUCGCGUGUGAAAGCCCCCCGGCUCAACUGGGGAGGGUCACGCGAUACUGAUCGACUCGAAGGCAGGAGAGGGUAGUGGAAUUCCCGGUGUAGUGGUGAAAUGCGUAGAUAUCGGGAGGAACACCAGUGGCGAAGGCGGUUCUCUGGGCAUUACCUGACGCUGAGGAGCGAAAGUGUGGGGAGCGAACAGG